rnacentral:rRNA from 1 species
AACGGAGGGGGCAAGCGUUAUUCAUCAUAAUUGGGCGUAAAGGGUAUGUAGAUGGUAGAAAAUUGUUCAUAAAAAUAACAGGUUAAUCUUGUUAUCUUAUGUUCAAAUUGAUCUAUUGGAAACUUUUAAAGUUAGCAGAAUUACUAAUGGAAAAGUAGAAUUUUGUGAUAUUAGUAGGAAUACCAAAGGCGAUAGCAGCUUUCUCAAAAUUUUGACAUUGAUGUACUAAAGCAUGGGUAUCAAAUGGG